CUUUGUCAUACAUUCGUCACGGUGACAUUAUACACUGGACGGAGGUCUGAUAAGGGA
rnacentral:pre_miRNA from 1 species